rnacentral:rRNA from 1 species
GUUUGAUCCUGGCUCAGAUUGAACGCUGGCGGCAUGCCUUACACAUGCAAGUCGAACGGUAACGCGGGGCAACCUGGCGACGAGUGGCGAACGGGUGAGUAAAGCAUCGGAACGUGCCCAGUAGUGGGGGAUAGCCCGGCGAAAGCCGGAUUAAUACCGCAUACGACCUACGGGUGAAAGGGGGGGAUCGCAAGACCUCUCGCUAUUGGAGCGGCCGAUGUCAGAUUAGGUAGUUGGUGGGGUAAAGGCCUACCAAGCCGACGAUCUGUAGCUGGUCUGAGAGGACGACCAGCCACACUGGGACUGAGACACGGCCCAGACUCCUACGGGAGGCAGCAGUGGGGAAUUUUGGACAAUGGGCGCAAGCCUGAUCCAGCCAUGCCGCGUGCGGGAAGAAGGCCUCGGUU